GAUCCUGGCUCAGGAUGAACGCUAGCUACAGGCUUAACACAUGCAAGUCGAGGGGAAACGACAUCGGAAAGCUUGCUUUGAUGGGCGUCGACCGGCGCACGGGUGAGUAACGCGUAUCCAACCUGCCCACCACUUGGGGAUAACCUUGCGAAAGUAAGACUAAUACCCAAUGACGUCUCUAGAAGACAUCUGAAAGGGAUUAAAGAUUUAUCGGUGAUGGAUGGGGAUGCGUCUGAUUAGCUUGUUGGCGGGGUAACGGCCCACCAAGGCAACGAUCAGUAGGGGUUCUGAGAGGAAGGUCCCCCACAUUGGAACUGAGACACGGUCCAAACUCCUACGGGAGGCAGCAGUGAGGAAUAUUGGUCAAUGGGCGAGAGCCUGAACCAGCCAAGUAGCGUGCAGGAUGACGGCCCUAUGGGUUGUAAACUGCUUUUAUAAGGGAAUAAAGUGGGUCACGUGUGACUUUUUGCAUGUACCUUAUGAAUAAGGACCGGCUAAUUCCGUG
rnacentral:rRNA from 1 species